rnacentral:misc_RNA from 1 species
CAACCGGCACGAUGGGAUUCAAGCACCGCGAAGCCGACCUGGUGCAAGUCAAGGCCGCUCUCGAGGAGCCGAACUUCCUUCUCAAGAUUAUUCCGCACGUCGACGGCAGUCCGCGCAUCUGCGAGCUUGUCGAAUAUCACCUUGAGCAACUUGUCUUGAAAGGGGCGUGGACCGGACCAGCGGCUCUCGCCUUGACACCUCACGCCCUGGCUCCAGUGGCCGAUUUGCCAGUUC